GACGAACGCUGGCGGCGUGCUUAACACAUGCAAGUCGUGCGGUAAGGCCCUUUCGGGGGUACACGAGCGGCGAACGGGUGAGUAACACGUGAGCAACCUGCCCUUCACUUUGGGAUAACUGCCGGAAACGGUGGCUAAUACCGGAUAUGGCUUCCUCACGCAUGUGGGGUGGUGGAAAGCCUUCGGGUGGUGGGGGAUGGGCUCGCGGUCUAUCAGCUUGUUGGUGGGGUGAUGGCCUACCAAGGCUUCGACGGGUAGCCGGCCUGAGAGGGUGACCGGCCACACUGGGACUGAGACACGGCCCAGACUCCUACGGGAGGCAGCAGUGGGGAAUAUUGGACAAUGGGCGAAAGCCUGAUCCAGCAACGCCGCGUGAGGGAUGACGGCCUUCGGGUUGUAAACCUCUUUCGCCUGCGACGAAGCGAGAGUGACGGUAGCAGGUAAAGAAGCACCGGCCAACUACGUG
rnacentral:rRNA from 1 species